AACCUCCCAGUGUCGCACCUGGAGAGUUUCCAGUACUCUACCAGUCUUGAUGACAGGAGGGAGAAUCACGCAGAGGCCUACCCACUCCAUUCCUAGCUUGGUCAGUGGCUAGUGAGUGGAAGGCAAUCUGCUACAAGU